UGGGGAAUUUUGGACAAUGGGCGAAAGCCUGAUCCAGCAAUGCCGCGUGUGUGAAGAAGGCCUUCGGGUUGUAAAGCACUUUUGUCCGGAAAGAAAUCCUUGGCUCUAAUACAGUCGGGGGAUGACGGUACCGGAAGAAUAAGCACCGGCUAACUACGUGCCAGCAGCCGCGGUAAUACGUAGGGUGCAAGCGUUAAUCGGAAUUACUGGGCGUAAAGCGUGCGCAGGCGGUUGCUAAGACCGAUGUGAAAUCCCCGGGCUCAACCUGGGAACUGCAUUGGUGACUGGCAGGCUAGAGUAUGGCAGGAGGGGGGUAGAAUUCCACGUGUAGCAGUGAAAUGCGUAGAGAUGUGGAGGAAUACCGAUGGCGAAGGCAGCCCCUGGGCCAAUACUGACGCUCAUGCACGAAAAGCGUGGGGGAGCAAACAGGGAUUAGAUACCCCUGGUAGUCCACGCCCUAAAACGAUGUCAACUAGUUGUUGGGGAUUCAUUCCUUAGUAACGUAGCUAACGCGUGAAGUUGACCGCCUGGGGAGUACGGUCGCAAGAUUAAAACUUAAAUGAAUUGAC
rnacentral:rRNA from 1 species